rnacentral:lncRNA from 1 species
AAGUUAUUUGUAUAAAAAAUCCCUAAAUAAAUAUUGUUCUGGGUUUCCAGCUUGUAAGUAGUUCAUAGUAGAUUGGGCCAUUUUGAUUUUAUCUCUAUCUAGGCAUAUUGCUAAACUGAAUCUUAUUGGGUCAGCGCAUUCAAUAAAGGGAUUUGUACAUGAUAAAAUUACUCUCUAUAACCUUUCAAAAUUUUAAUAGUCAAUAUUUUUAUUAAUUUCCAUAAAAUGAUCUUUCGAUCCAAUUUAUUUAUAAUGUGUAGCCAUUACCGUCUGAACUAAAAUAUCACAUAUCUCCAUAUCCAAAUAACAUCACAUACUCCUAACAACUUUAUUAUUUAUCAUACACGUUUUCCAACCUAACUUUAUCUCUUUUCAUCCCAAUUCUCAAGAAUAAUUUUUAAUUUUUUAGAACCCACUCACUUGUAG